rnacentral:rRNA from 1 species
GAUGAACGCUGGCGGCGUGCCUAAUACAUGCAAGUCGAGCGAAGAGGGGACGGGUGAGUAACACGUGGAUAACCUCCUAUAAGACUGGGAGAACUUCGGGAAACCGGAGCUAAACCGGAUACUCAGAGAUGGAUCCGCGCUGCAUUAGCUAGUUGGUAAGGUAACGGCUUACCAAGGCAACGAUGCAUAGCCGACCUGAGAGGGUGAUCGGCCACACUGGAACUGAGACACGUUCCAGGCGCCUGCGGUAGGCAGCAGUAGGGCAUCUUCCGCAAUGGGCUAGAGCCUGACGGAGCAACGCCGCGUGAGUGAUGAAGGUCUUCGGUUCGUAAACCUCUGUUAUUAGGGAAGCGGUACCUAAUCAGAAAGCCACGGCUAACUACGUGCCAGCAGCCGCGGUAAUUC